rnacentral:rRNA from 1 species
UACGGAGGGUGCAAGCGUUGUUCGGAAUCACUGGGCGUAAAGCGCGUGUAGGCGGCUUCCUCAGUCUGAUGUGAAAGCCCGGGGCUCAACCCCGGAAGUGCAUUGGAUACUGGGAGGCUGGAGUACCGGAGAGGAGGGUGGAAUUCCUGGUGUAGCGGUGAAAUGCGUAGAUAUCAGGAGGAACACCGGUGGCGAAGGCGGCCCUCUGGACGGAUACUGACGCUGAGACGCGACAGCGUGGGGAGCAAACAGG